rnacentral:rRNA from 1 species
AUUGAACGCUGGCGGCAUGCCUUACACAUGCAAGUCGAACGGCAGCGGGGGAGAAGCUUGCUUUUCCUGCCGGCGAGUGGCGAACGGGUGAGUAAUACAUCGGAACGUGCCCUGUAGUGGGGGAUAACUAGUCGAAAGAUUAGCUAAUACCGCAUACGACCUGAGGGUGAAAGUGGGGGACCGCAAGGCCUCAUGCUAUAGGAGCGGCCGAUGUCUGAUUAGCUAGUUGGUGGGGUAAGGGCCUACCAAGGCGAGGAUCAGUAGCUGGUCUGAGAGGACGAUCAGCCACACUGGGACUGAGACACGGCCCAGACUCAUACGGGAGGCAGCAGUGGGGAAUUUUGGACAAUGGGCGAAAGCCUGAUCCAGCAAUGCCGCGUGUGUGAAGAAGGCCUUCGGGUUGUAAAGCACUUUUGUCCGGAAAGAAAUGGCUCUGGUUAAUACCUGGGGUCGAUGACGGUACCGGAAGAAUAAGGACCGGCUAACUACGUGCCAGCCGCCGCCGUAA